AAUGUUAUGUCUGAAAAAAGAAAUAAAUUGUAAAUUUAUUCAUAAAAUUAUAAGAAAAUUUUUGACAUUA
rnacentral:tRNA from 1 species